UUUCCGUAGGUGAACCUGCGGAAGGAUCAUUAUUGUAUAACCGAGGUGCGAGGGCUGUCGCUGACCCAAAAGGUCGUGCACGCCCGAGUGCCCUCACACACAUCCAUCUCACCCCUAUUUGCACCACCGCGUGGGUCCCCCUUUGGCUUGUUCGGAGGGGGGCUUACGUUUUCACACAAACUUUGUAUGCAGUGUAGAAUGUAUUUUUUGUUUUUGCGAUCACGCAAUCAAUACAACUUUCAACAACGGAUCUCUUGGCUCUC
rnacentral:misc_RNA from 1 species